UGAUAUGCAGGGAGCAGAAGACCUCACACAGGCCAGGCAGGUUUGUGAUUUUGCAAGGUGAUGAAUGUGUAUGGCUGAGCUGGAUCAAUGAAAUGAAUACUCUUCAUGUUUGCUUUAUACUGCUAAGCUUUGCUUCUAUAUUUUAUUGAAUGAGACUGUUUGUUUUAAAAAGAAAUUUUGAGUGCAAACAUUUAAUGCUAGGAACAAGUGCAAUGAUAGGAAACUAUAUCAGAAAGAAACACAGAAAUGCCUGUCUCUUCAGUUUGAUUGUGAUCAUUCUUACGCAGUCCCAACAUGGGGCAACUUUGAAACUGAACUCUUUUCAGGCUGGACUACAGAAAUCCAUCAGCUUGGAGAAAAAUUGCUGUGAAAAAAUAGAGUGAAAUUAAGCGUGUAUCUAAUGAGAACUGAUGGAAUAUGCAACAACUUGAGCAGAUCCAGUGAAAAGCCAGUCCCCAGGGAGAAGGAAGGCCUCCCUGACAAGUGUAAGGUUUGCGAGGGGUACCAGGAAUGAGUUAAUCCCACCAAGGAAUGCGGAGGAGCUGCCAGAUAACAGAGUGACAUUGUUUUUCCCUGAUGUCAGCACAGAAACCCAAACACAAAGAGGUGAAUGUAGUCCUCUGAGAGAGCUGUUGAGAAAGCUGAAUGUCGAGCUUGUGCCCUGGCAUCCAGCAGCAUUAAAAGCUUUUCGCACAAGAUGACAAAGUGUUUCCUGGAACCAGGGGCUGCCUCCAGACAUCUGGACAAGACCAGCACUGUGGGCGAUAGUCGGGAAGGACCAUGAGAUGUGCAUGUGGCUGGGCUGGGAGCUGUAUUGAUGCUACGGCAGCAACAGGGUUCCACCUCUGCAUCCUGAAGUUGUAAGAACGUGCAGUUCUGGUAGGCCUGGAGUUACACCGAGUAGCCAUCUAUGGGUCAUUUUGUUUUACUCUACGGCUCAGUUGUGAGGACCUACCAUGGAUCCUGCUUGAUAAAAUCUCGGUAAAGAAAUUUUGCUUCUGUUUCUGUCACUUCGUUUCAACUCUUCUGUGAUUAUGAAUACCCCUUGCUCCCCACAAAGACUUUUUCCUGAAGACAGAUUAGAAGAAAACAUAUUUGUGAACAUAUGAACAGAUUUUCUUCUUAUGAUACAUAACUCUGGCAUGCAGUCAGGAAAUGAUGAUAAUCUUUUUCUCCAUCUUCCCUUGCUAAUGAAGAGAAACUGCCUCUGGGGUUAAGGACAAAAGGUGAACUCUCCCUGAACACAAUUUACACCUGCUGAGCACAUGAUUUUGGGCAUCUAAAAUUCUUGUCUUGGCAGGUGUCCCAGGGACCAAGCCACACGCACGGAGACUUAGGAGGUAAUAUUUUCAUCUAGACAUUAAAUAAAAAACAGACUCAAGAGGAAUGAAUUUUGUGAUACUUUAGGGCACCUCAUGUUUUUGCUUAACCUUGUAAAAAUCUUUCACUAUUAAAACUUAUGAAAAGCAAUCUUUACCAACCAGUAACGAAGAUAAAAACAAAGUUGAAAAGUAACUAAUAAAGAGGCAGCUGUAGUUGAAAAGAAGCCUAAUCAAGGAAGGAAAGAACAGCCCAUCCCUCUUUUGUUGGUAGCUUCUCCGUCAACAGGUAAGAAACCACUCCUGAAAGGGAGAUGGUUAGGUAAAUGUCAUCCUUAUAAAAGUUUUCACUCAUUCUUGGACUUCCCUUUUAUGAAAAGGCACUUUCAUUUUCUAACCCUUUAAGAUUCUACUGGUUUGGAAGAGUUCAUGAAACACAGAAGUGCUGGGAGGCUGAGCCUGUUCACUUGGAAACUGGACAUAGACACAUUUACACUCAUACGUUGCCUUGUUUUGAAUCAAUCAAACAUAAUAAACUGAUACAGACAAUGUAGCUGCAUCUGGGUAGACAACCACCUUGAGUGGUGGGAGGAUAGGAUAUUUUCCCAGUUCUUGCAAAUUUAUGAUGAUGUUUUGAAUAUUUGUUAGAGACAGGCAAAGCAAUAACAUGUAGUGCUAUGUUAGUAUACAUAUACAGGGUAGGUAUUCACAUGUAGGACUUGCGUGUGUUGGAUCAUGCUGAAAUUAUUCACCACAAAUUGCUUUUAAAUCCUUUUUUUUUCUCCCUAGCCUGAUUAUUCUUCUUCCUUUCUAACACUCUCUCUCAAAAAAACCCCAACCCAAAAAACAUACCCCCAAAGAACCAUGAGCCACUUCUGGGCCUUUUUCCUUCCAUUUUCUGUUCUCUCUGUUCAGUUGAAGUAUUCCCGUGGAUUCUGAGGCUGAAUUUCUAUGGAGUAUACUAAUUCCAGCUGCCACCAUCUUCCUUUUAAGAGCACUACCAUGUCUCCUAAUGUGUCUGGGAUAAAAACUGCUUCCAGCAUAAGUCGCCUGAAUAUCACUUACUUUGCAAAACUUCUGAAAUCCAACCCUUGCAGUUGUUUACCAACUUCAAAUGCCACCUAGAGAGCUGAUAGCCAUACAUUAUUAUUGCAGCUUCCAAUUUAGCUCAUCUGGUUAUAUCUGACCCAAGAGAGAGGGAUUAGGUUCCUACGGUCUCCUCAGAUGGGACCUGUUGCUGACAUUUAGCUGGCUGACGGGGGGACUGCAGCAUGCCUGAAGGACAUGGUGGGAGGUAGAUGUGCCCCAUCCUUCACGGCAGCAGCAGGUUGUUUUUCUGUGCCUGAUAGAAAACACGUCUCAUGCUGCCUGUAAAGCAUGUUGACUAAGCAGUGAGCACGGAAGAACAGCAAUAAAAGCAGUUUCUGGGAGACAGCCAAGGAGCACAGUUAGAGACACAGCUGAUUCCUGUAUGCCUGGAAAGCAGGGAACCACGGACAGUACAGUGCAUGGGGUGUGCAGGAGUCCUGUGUGUGUGACACCAAUCGUGUCAGGCAACUGGUACAGGCAGUGUGUGGCCAAAGACAGAUUUGUGAUGGGCUUACAGCUGUCAACAGGCACAAGAUCAGCUCAUGUUUUGGUCCAGCAUGGAUAAGUAGAUCCCAAACACUUGUGGAACCACAGCUGCAGUGCCCUGAAGACAUAAACUUGCAGGGAAAAGUACAGCCAAAAGUUCAGCAAUGAGUUCUGGAGGGGGAUGAAGAUCCUGGCUUAUCACUCAUGUGUGUCUGGCUUUCUCACUGCAAAAGAAGCAACCAGCAGGAAUCUCCAGAUGAUUCCCCCAAAACACAUAGCUAUGUUUGUCAGCUGUGUCCCUUAGGAGCCAGGAGUGUGGGAACCAGGAUGAGAAACAAAGAGGACCAUUAAAAACUGUAACUCUUGGCAGCGGCCCUUCUGAGUCUUGUCACUUGGUAUCAUAGAACAGAAAGUAAGAAGAAUGAGGAUACACAAAGUGUCUUGAGGUGUCACCCAGUCAAAAACUCACUUACAAGCCUUCCACAGCAAGUGCCUAGGGAAGUUCAAGAUUGGAAAUCUGCUGUCUUUGGGAGGUAAAGAAUUGGAAAGCUUUCAAUUCAGGAAGCCCUCAAAAAGAAAAGCAAGCCUGCAUACCUUGUGCUGCAAACCUGAAGUGAGAUUCACCCUGUCCCAGCACAGACUUUCCUCUCUGUGACUGUGUGAGUGUCACCCCGUGGUGGGCUCCAUUAGCUGUGCCCCAGAGGGGCAGCUGUGCAGCCUGACUGCAGGUGGAAAGUCUGGCUUCUACGAAGACCUGCAUUAACCGGCUAAACUGUGCUUCUACCGAGUCUGCUAGAAAUCCAUGGCUCCAGUGGGGUUUCAUGAGAUGUUUCAGUUGUAGUAAGGGAGCUGGCAGAUGCAUCAAGCCACUGAGGUGUUUCUCAGCUUGCUCCAUGCCAUGCUGUAAGCACUGCAGGACAACUGAAAAAGAGGAGGCAUGAAUUUCUGUACAACCAUUGUGCACCAUGGUUUUGGUUUUGUUGGGGUUUUUUUUGUUUGUUUGCUUGGGGCUUUUUUGUCUUGUUGUUGUUUUUUUGUUUUUUUGUU